GCCCCCGUAGCUCAAUGGAUAGAGCUCCGCAGUCCUAAUGCGGCAAUGUAGGUCCGAUUCCUGCCGGGGGCA
rnacentral:tRNA from 1 species